rnacentral:rRNA from 1 species
CCUACGGGUGGCAGCAGUGAGGAAUAUUGGUCAAUGGGCGCGAGCCUGAACCAGCCAAGCAGCGUGAAGGACGACUGCCCUACGGGUUGUAACCUUCUUUUAUAAAGGAAUAAAGUGAGGCACGUGGGCCUUUUUGUAUGUACUUUAUGAAUAAGGAUCGGCUAACUCCGUGCCAGCAGCCGCGGUAAUACGGAGGAUCCGAGCGUUAUCCGGAUUUAUUGGGUUUAAAGGGAGCGUAGAUGGGUUGUUAAGUCAGUGGUGAAAGUUUGCGGCUCAACCGUAAAAGUGCAAUUGAAACUGGCAGUCUUGAGUACAGUUGAGGUAGGCGGAAUUCGUGGUGUAGCGGUGAAAUGCUGAGAUAUCACGAAGAACACCGAUUGCGAAGGCAGCUUACUAAACUGUGACUGACAUUGAUGCUCGAAAGUGUGGGUAUCAAACAGGAUUAGAUACCCGUGUAGUC